GGUCCUAUGGCUUAGAUGGCAAAGCGCCUGCCUAACAAGCAGGAGAUCACGAGUUCGAGUCUCGUUGGGACCU
rnacentral:tRNA from 1 species